rnacentral:rRNA from 1 species
AACGAACGCUGGCGGCAUGCCUAACGCAUGCAAGUCGAACGAGACCUUCGGGUCUAGUGGCGCACGGGUGCGUAACGCGUGGGAACCUGCCCUUAGGUUCGGAAUAACUCCCCGAAAGGGGUGCUAAUACCGGAUAAUGUCUUCGGACCAAAGAUUUAUCGCCUUUGGAUGGGCCCGCGUUGGAUUAGCUAGUUGGUAGGGUAAAAGCCUACCAAGGCGACGAUCCAUAGCUGGUCUGAGAGGAUGAUCAGCCACCCUGGGACUGAGACACGGCCCAGACUCCUACGGGAGGCAGCAGUGGGGAAUAUUGGACAAUGGGCGAAAGCCUGAUCCAGCAAUGCCGCGUGAGUGAUGAAGGCCUUAGGGUUGUAAAGCUCUUUUACCCGGGAUGAUAAUGACAGUACCGGGAGAAUAAGCUCCGGCUAACUCCGUG